GGGGGUAUAGCUCAGUUGGUAGAGCAGCUGACUCUUAAUCAGUAGGUCGUAGGUUCGAAUCCUACUGCCCCCACCA
rnacentral:tRNA from 15 species